GGCUUGGGGGGCUCUUCUCCGGCUUCCAGUCCAGAGGGCCCCAAGACAACCCCCUCACCCAGAACAGGAUUGCCAGUUCUACAUGCAGAAUUGCGAUUCACGAUGGAACCGUCCGGUUCAGGAGCAGCAGAACCGGGCGAGGACGGCCGCGACCAAGAACCGGCCCAUGAGCGCUCCUACGCCCCCUCCAAUGGAGCCGGACCCGCGGUGGCGGAGACGAGGGAGGCGCCCAACUCAUCUGGACUGGAGUGCGUUCCUGAGCGUUUCUUGGUUUCCUCUUGCGCAGUUCAACUCGUUGCGCGCGGGA